AAGAACACGCGAGACACAACUCACGGUAGUGGGCUGAGGAAUGGUCCCCCCAAAUGUCAGAUCCCAAUCCCUGGAGCCUGGGAAUGUUUUCUUAUUUUGAAAAAAUUGUCUUUGCGGGUGUGUGAUUGAGUUAAGGGCCUUGGGAUGGAAAGAUUAUCCUACAGAAUCCAGUAGGCACUACAAAAUCACAGUGUACUCCUUUUUGGAGGGACACAGAAAGGGAUUUGACAUACACAGGAGAAGAGGAGAAGGCGAUGUGACCACAGAAGCGGAGACUGAAGGGAUGCGGCCACAAGCCAAGGCAUACUGGUUGCCACUGGAAGUUGGAGGAGGCAAGGAAGGGCAUCUCCCCUCAAGCCUGUGGAGGGAGCACGGUCUUGCUAACACCUUGAUUUUGACCCAGUGCUACUGAUUUGAGACUUCUGGCCACCAGAACUGUCCCUUCCAGGACACCCCAUCCCAUGUAGGUCUCAGGUCUCCUUUGGCUCCUUGUGGCUGUGACUGUUUCUCAGACCUUCCUUGUUCUUGAUGACCUUGGCCGUUCUGCGGAGCACUGCUCGGUACUGCCUACU